rnacentral:rRNA from 1 species
AUUGAACGCUGGCGGCAGGCCUAACACAUGCAAGUCGAGCGGCAGCGGAAAGUAGCUUGCUACUUUGCCGGCGAGCGGCGGACGGGUGAGUAAUGUCUGGGAAACUGCCUGAUGGAGGGGGAUAACUACUGGAAACGGUAGCUAAUACCGCAUAAUGUCGCAAGACCAAAGAGGGGGACCUUCGGGCCUCUUGCCAUCAGAUGUGCCCAGAUGGGAUUAGCUAGUAGGUGGGGUAACGGCUCACCUAGGCGACGAUCCCUAGCUGGUCUGAGAGGAGGACCAGCCACACUGGAACUGAGACACGGUCCAGACUCCUACGGGAGGCAGCAGUGGGGAAGAUUGCACAAUGGGCGCAAGCCUGAUGCAGCCAUGCCGCGUGUAUGAAGAAGGCCUUCGGGUUGUAAAGUACUUUCAGCGGGGAGGAAGGUGCUGAGGUUAAUAACCUCAGCAAUUGACGUUACCCGCAGAAGAAGCACCGGCUAACUCCGUGCCAGCCGCCGCGGUAAGAC